rnacentral:lncRNA from 1 species
CCAAAAAGGUGUGGCCGGGGGGAGGUGCGAUAGGAGUUUUAUGCUCACAGAGACUGGAUGAAGAGCUUCACCCCAGCACCCAUAUCCGCACCGAGGAAUGAAUCCAGCCCUUACAGAUAUCACAAACCGUGGGAGACGCCCGAGAUGAGGGAGAUAUCAGAGCUCCAGACGAGGAAGAAAUCAGAGGCGACGGAGAUCCACACUGCACAGCGAAGAUCCUAUCCUCACGGCUGUGGUGACUCCGAUAAGUCUGUGACCAGGUUAACGACUGGCAGGUCGCAACCUAGUCUAUUCUUCGGCCACCUUCCCUCUUAG